UUACCAACCAUAGAGGUCUAGUUAUACAAUUCAUUAAACCAAAACCAAGCAAGCCGUAUUAUGGCUUAAUAAGGUGAUUCAAACACAGUCAUUCAAUAGAGUACAAAUUCUCAGAAAUAACUCUGCAAGCAAUAAAAUGUUUCUUUUUCUUUCUUUUUUGGAGAUCUGUACACAUUUAUGCAAGUGUUUUACUUUAUUUUUAAAGGAUACUGAAGAAAAAAUAAUGCAAGAUAUAGCCAACAUCUUAACAGGUGAUUUUAUACCCAACUUUGAGAACUUUGCACCAGAUUUACAGGAGAAUGUGGAACUGAUAAAAGAAUUAAGAGUGCAAUUUCAACAGGAAUGGAAAUUGCUUCAGUGUGCAGCAAAGAACUUCAAAGAUGAAAAGUAAUCUUGAUUUCAAUAAUCUCUUUUCUUCCACAUGAAAACAAAACAAAAGAUCAGAACAACAUAUGCUUUAUGAAUAAAAGGGCACAAAAUAUU